rnacentral:tmRNA from 1 species
GUUGGGUAGUGAGCGGUGAGAACAAUAGACUGGGCUACGUACGUAGAGCUUGUAGCGUAGGACUUAUGGACGGGGGUUCGAUUCCCCCCGGCUCCACCA